CCUACGGGUGGCUGCAGUGAGGAAUAUUGGUCAAUGGACGCAAGUCUGAACCAGCCAAGCCGCGUGCAGGAAGAAGGUUCUAUGAGUUGUAAACCGCUUUUGUAAGAGGGCAAAUGCAGAUACGUGUCGCUGUUUGAGAGUAUCGUACGAAUAAGCAUCGACUAACUCCGUGCCAGCAGCCGCGGUAAUACGGAGGAUUCAAGCGUUAUCCGGAUUUAUUGGGUUUAAAGGGUGCGUAGGCGGGUUGAUAAGUUAGCGGUGAAAUCCUGGGGCUCAACUUCAGAAUUGCCUUUGAUACUGUUCAUCUAGAGAGUGGGAGAGGUAGGCGGAAUGCGUGGUGUAGCGGUGAAAUGCGUAGAGAUCAUGCAGAACACCGAUUGCGAAGGCAGCUUACCAGACCACUACUGACGCUGAGGCACGAAAGCGUGGGGAGCGAACAGGAUUAGAUACCCGGGUAGUC
rnacentral:rRNA from 1 species